ACAAUAUCUACGGCGUAAAGCACGACUAACAAUAUGUUCAAAUAUUAGGAAACAAAGCAAAACUGGGCUGUAAAAAGCCAUAAGUCACACUAAUAAUACCCUAACAACAAACAAACUCCACUCGUGAAAGCUAGGACACAAACUAAGAUUAGAUACCUUACUAUGCCCAGCCAUAACAUAACAAUUAAAUUACCCAUUGUUCGCCAAAUAACUACGAGUAAAAACUUAAAAUUUAAAAGACUUGACGGUACCUCAAAACAACCUAGAGGAGCCUGUCCAAUAACCGAUACCCCACGAUUAACCCAACCCACCCUAGCCUAACAGUCUAUAUACCGCCGUCGCCAGCCUACCUUGUGAAAGAAACAAAGUGAGCCAAAUAGCCAUACACUAACACGACAGGUCGAGGUGUAACUUAUGGGUGGGUAAAAGAUGGGCUACAUUUUCUAAUACAGAAAAUACGAAUAAAUCUAUGAAAAUAGAGCUUGAAGGAGGAUUUAGCAGUACAGUGGGAACACCAUACCCAAUCGAAACUAACGCAAUGAGGUGCGUACACACCGCCCGUCAUCCCUGUGACAUCAACACAAACCAUAUAUAAA
rnacentral:rRNA from 1 species